rnacentral:rRNA from 1 species
CCUACGGGGGGCUGCAGUGAGGAAUAUUGGUCAAUGGACGCGAGUCUGAACCAGCCAAGUCGCGUGAAGGAUGACUGCCCUAUGGGUUGUAAACUUCUUUUAUAUGGGAAUAAAACGUUCCACGUGUGUGAUUUUGUAUGUACCAUAUGAAUAAGGAUCGGCUAACUCCGUGCCAGCAGCCGCGGUAAUACGGAGGAUCCGAGCGUUAUCCGGAUUUAUUGGGUUUAACGGGUGCGUAGGUGGAUUGUUAAGUCAGAUGUGAAAGUUUGAGGCUCAACCGUAAAAUUGCAGUUGAAACUGGCAGUCUUGAGUACAGGAGAGGUAGGCGGGAUUCGUGGUGUAGCGGUGAAAUGCUUAGAUAUCACGAAGAACUCCGAUUGCGAAGGCAGUUCACUGGACUGCAACUGACACUGAGGCUCGAAAGUGUGGGUAUCAAACAGGAUUAGAUACCCCAGUAGUC